GAUGAACGCUGGCGGCGUGCUUAACACAUGCAAGUCGAACGGAAAGGCCACAGCUUGCUGUGGUACUCGAGUGGCGAACGGGUGAGUAACACGUGGGUGAUCUGCCCUGUACUUCGGGAUAAGUUUGGGAAACUGGGUCUAAUACCGGAUAGGAAUCACAUGUGGGUGUGUGGUUGGAAAGCUUUUGCGGUAUGGGAUGAGCUCGCGGCCUAUCAGCUUGUUGGUGGGGUAAUGGCCUACCAAGGCGUCGACGGGUAGCCGGCCUGAGAGGGUGUACGGCCACAUUGGGACUGAGAUACGGCCCAGACUCCUACGGGAGGCAGCAGUGGGGAAUAUUGCACAAUGGGCGCAAGCCUGAUGCAGCGACGCCGCGUGGGGGAUGACGGCCUUCGGGUUGUAAACUCCUUUCGUCAGGGACGAAGCGAAAGUGACGGUACCUGGAUAAGAAGCACCGGCUAACUACGUG
rnacentral:rRNA from 1 species